GACGAACGCUGGCGGCGUGCUUAACACAUGCAAGUGGUGCGACGAACCAGGGCUUGCCCUGGGGCAAAGCCGCGAACGGGUGAGUAACACGUGAGUAACCUGCCCCGAUGACCGGGACAACCCGAGGAAACUCGGGCUAAUACCGGAUGUGGUACAUGGACUUAAGCCUGUGUACUAAAGGAAGCUUCGGCCUCCGCAUUGGGAGGGGCUCGCGGCCCAUUAGCUUGUUGGUGGGGUAACGGCCUACCAAGGCAACGAUGGGUAGCUGGUCUGAGAGGACGAUCAGCCACACUGGGACUGAGACACGGCCCAGACUCCUACGGGAGGCAGCAGUGGGGAAUCUUGCGCAAUGCGCGAAAGCGUGACGCAGCAACGCCGCGUGGGGAAGACGGCCU
rnacentral:rRNA from 1 species